CUGGUUGACUGAUGAGCAGCUCGGUGCUCAGCAACGCAGACGAACCCAUGUUAAAACUGCUUCGGGGUAUUGAUCUCAAGUAGGUGGCAAAGGAGGUGUUCAAACUUCAAAGCCAUUGUAACACCUGCUUUUCAUUAUGCUUUUGCUUUAGCUGUACAGGAUGAGGGACGUAAAGAUCUGGACGAACCAAAAGUAAUUUGGAAAAUUAUACACAGGUUUCAUAUAAAAAAAAAAGCCUCAUAAAAUUCAAAAAAAUAUUUUAAAAUUUCAAAUCCUGUAUAUUUAUAAUUUAAUCAAGGGCGACUACAGCUUGGCACAACUUUUUGUAAAUUUUAUAAGACCUCUUAAUCAUAAUUUUUUUUUUUAUAGGAUCCAGAUAUAAUUUUUUCAAAGUAUAACUCCAUGAGUUUGAAAGCGAAGUAAUCCUCCUGUCCAGUAAUAUACUCUCAAGGUGAGCUCUCUUGUACAAGGUCGAUCAGAGCGGGGAAGACAGACUUGCAUCUCCUACUUUUCAAUGACAACAAAAUUUCGUACGGGAUUUUUUAAGUGUCUGCUCUUAUCUGUUAUUAUGAAUUAAAAUAUAAUAAAUAUCUUAAUCAGUCAAUAUCACAUGAUUGAGGAUCGUAAAAAAGAAAUAUUCUGGAUAUUUUCAUAUUGGAAAACUUGGUAGAAGACAUCACGAAUUUUAGGUAAAUCUUAUUCUUCGAGUGAUGACUUAGUCGGCACGCCUUGCCAAAGUGGCAAGAAGUGACAUCAGUAUAUUUGUCAUCAGGCUUAAACUCUGCACUUAACUCUUGAAAAUGUACAAACAAGCAUGAUGAAUGGUGUCUGACAGACAGAGCAUGAUGUUUUUGUUGGCGCCAUAUUUUGAGCAUUAUGGAAACUGGCACAGAUUGCGUAGGAGUGUGGGUUGAAGAGAGGACCCAUAUAAGAUAGAGGGAUAAGAAACACAAGCUAGUGGAAUGCACACUCACUUCCCACUGUCUCCAUCUCCAUAAUAUGGUCUAUCAAAUUCUAGUGAUGUCAUUCUCUCCUCUACCCGCAGAUACGACACCAUCUUGUGUCUUCAAUUUGUUAUCUCAUUCAGAGCAUUCAUGCACUGCUAUGUUUUCUUCCACGUUUACCCGGUGGGACCAGCGAUUCGUUCGAUUAUCGAGAAGCAAAAGAAUAUUAAAAGGUACAACCCUGUUCAGCGUGUGUUCGUAAAAAGUAAAAACCCAACUUUGUAAAGUUUUUUUUUUUUUUUUUUCUGUUUUCUUUUUGAAAGUAAAGCUUUGUAAAGUUAUUUGCCUAUGCGGGUAGGUUUCUAUGUGUGGAGCGGCUUAUUACAUUUUUUUGGUUGAAUAUAUUUCGUAUUAAUAUUGAUUUUUAAUAUCGACUGUAUCAA